UAGGGUAGUGAUACAGACAAACUUGCAUGAAUGAGCAGAUUCACCUGAAGUUAAGCCCAGAGAGAUAAAGCUGAACUUCUUGAUGUGAUCUUUUUGAGUGGUUUCCUUCGGAAUCUACUUUUGAACUUCUUCAAGAAACAAAGACUUUCUUCAAGACUGGAGGUGAUGUGGGCAUGGCCCUUGAACCUUGGAACUUGACGAAAAGCUGCAGGAUGAUCUGUGUUAUCAGCCAGGUCUGUACCACACAGGAGAAGAUGCUUCAUGAAAUACCAGGAUUCAAUUCCAGUUUUACUUUACCAUCAUCUGAGUGCAUGCCAAAUGUAUUGAUUUGAUCUGCUCAGAAAAUGAAACCACUUUGUUCCAGAUAUUACUCCAAUUUGCCUUGAUGAACGCUGUAUCCACGGCAGACAUUUAAAUUUCCAACACAUGUUCACAGUUUUCACUAAG